rnacentral:lncRNA from 1 species
CGUCGUUACCCUCACCACCGAGGUGGCACUGAGGUCUCUCCCUCACCGGUGGAGGAACAACGUGAACUGCCGAUGCCAGCGGGAACCUCCUCCAGUCGCCAUCGGCGUUCCUGAUAUAUACCGAGUGGCACCAUCGCGUCUUCCUCAUCACCGACCGACCUUUGUUUAUCAAUGGAGAGCUCGUGUUCACGUUCACGCACGCACGCUUACCCGCGAUCACGCAUCACCGCCACGCACGCGCGGGGGGGGUAUCGCGAGCUCGAGACACGCGACCACGAAGAGGAGCCCUGCCCGCCGCACCUCGGCUCGCCGAGAGAGCGCAUCGUCAAGGUCAUCACGGGAUCACCGAGUCGAAAGAUCGCCACCGAGUAGAUUCUCGCGGAAGAAAGUCGAUCCACUUCGUGGAGGAAGAAUCGUCUCGGCUCCGCCGAGAGAUGCCGAAGGAUUCCAACGGGUCUCUUGGUAAAAUAGAGCUCUCGAGGAAAGAGACUACUGUUCCGUAGAGUAUGUCGUGCUCGCUUUGAAGCGAAUGCUCUAAGAGCUCUGAUUCUACAAGAAGAAGACUCUUACGAAGAUCCUCCUUAAGAGGAGGAGAGACAUUUUGCAAAAGCAGAGAAUUGAUACGUACGGUCGAACAGUCGAGGAGGACUUUUCUCUAAAUCUCCUAGUACGAGCGAGAAUAUUCUUGAAGAGAAUGUUCUCUCUCAGAAUCUCUUUACCCCCGAAAAAAAAAAAUACACUAGAAAAGUCAGUGAGCCAUCUGAUAAGAUGGCUAUAGUUCGAUCUUGAACAAAGAGAUUACCAAUAAGAUUUCCAUCUCUGCUAUUUUCAAGGAUUUAUUCUGAAAAAAGUGAUUCUUCUGAAAAAAAUCAAUUCUUUGAAAAAAAAACUCCUUUAAAAAGAUAUUUUAAAAUAUAUUAGCAUUAAAGAGAAAAAAGUCAAUGUAGUUUCCGACAAAUGAAAUCUCUGAUAAAAAAUUCAAGAAUCAAAAAGAAUUCUGAAAAAAAAAAAAAAAAAUCAGAUGGAUUUCUCAAAGCGAUCAUCCUAAAAGUUUAGUGCUCUAGAAAUACAAAUUCUUCAGAGAGAAAUAUUUAAAAAGAUUUUCCAAUAAAAAGCUAUUUCUGACUAUUUCUGACAAAUGAUAACCAAGGUGGUGAUGAAGGUGAUCUAGAUAAUAAAAAUUUGAGAUUAGAACUCAACCGGGCAGGCGUCUCCAGGAGACGUUAGGCGAAUGUUCCAGGAGGGACUCCUUUAAAAAACGAAAUUGGCGGGCGGCCCGACAAGAUCGCAGCGGUGAAAUCGUGAUUCCUGGUGAACACGCGCGUGUUGCGUGGCGGGCAAAGUUCGACCAACCCGGAGAGUGACAAUUGAGUCGUUAAUUAUGCCUUAACGAGCUGUAACUGCACGGUGCAGAGUCGCGCACGAAAAUUACAGGGAGGCAGGGACAGGGGAUAAAAACAAUAAAUAACCCGCGAUCGGAUUAAAGGGAAAUGCAGCGGCAGCGGUGUCGCAAAAGCGCGCCGGUUAAUUCGCGUAAAGGAAUCUCUUAGGUAAUCGAAUUGGCGAGUCGCGCGCGCGAGAGCGGCGCGAGAGAAGAAUAGCUCGGGAGAGAGGCAAGGAGCGGACAAAGACCGUCGACGGACUUUGUACCCAACUGUAAUGACUCAUCGGUGCGGUUGAGGAAGGAGAGACGCACAUCGGAGGGUACGUGUGUGACGAAGACGAGGCGCGAGAGAGUGCGUUUGCGAAGGAAACAGGCAGGCGGCAACCAGAUUGCAACUGGUAAACUCCAUUGGAAGCAUAACAUGUUUGUCACGCAACAAGGCCACUAUGACAAUAUCAUCAUACCGUCAAGUUCCAUUACAACGAACUUCGAAUGGACUUAAGAGAUGUUUUGGUCCAGUAAUGCAAGUUAGACAUCUAAAGACAUUGAUACAUCUUCAAAUUAUGACCGACAGAGAAGACACGCAAACAAAACCAUUAGAUCUUUUGUAUUCAAAUUUACAUUAACAAAUGACUCAGAAU